UACGUAGGGGGCAAGCGUUGUUCGGAAUUACUGGGCGUAAAGAGCGCGCAGGCGGUCGUUCAAGUCGAGUGUGAAAGCCCCCGGCUCAACUGGGGAGGGUCACUCGAUACUGAUCGACUCGAAGGCAGGAGAGGGAAGUGGAAUUCCCGGUGUAGUGGUGAAAUGCGUAGAUAUCAGGAGGAACACCGGUGGUGUAGACGGCUUUCUGGACCGACACUGACGCUGAGACACGAAAGCGUGGGUAGCAAACAG
rnacentral:rRNA from 1 species